rnacentral:rRNA from 1 species
GUUGUAUAGUCAAGUAAUUAAGUGCAUGUGGUGGAUGCCUUGGCAGUCAGAGGCGAUGAAAGACGUGAUAGCCUGCGAAAAGCUCC